AUUUUAAUAAAAAUGAAAACCAAUACAAAGGAAAAUAUUGAGAUAACAAUUGAAUUAAUUGAAUUAAAAAGGAUUUCAUUCGACAAUGGAUUAUUUGGAAUUUUGUUUAUCAAAUUGGGGGAGUGGCUAUGUGAUAGGGAGCCCGAUGAAAGGGUUGAUGGUCUUUACCUGCAGUUGGAUAUCGAUCCUCUCCUUCAGAUGCUGCGUCCAAUUAAUAUUUUUUUUAUUGUAAUUAUUAUUUUUAAAAAAUUUAAU